UUCCACCGACUUCAGUUUCGAUUUAAUAUAGACAAACCAACCACGGCAGAGAUUGAAAGGUUAAGAAGGGAACAGACGGCUCUUCUUCUCUUUUCCUCUGGGUUUUUUCGUCUCCUUGUGUUUUUAUCCUCCAUUGAAAGAUUAUUUACACCGGCCGGUAAAGCCAGCCCUUUUUCUAAAACUUCCCAUGAAUCUCUCUUUUGCUUUAUCUAUUUGUUCGAUCCUUUCUUUUCUGAAAAAAAUAAGAUGCCCUUUGAUUGAAGUCUUGUAUUUCCUGUUAUAUACUGAUUUAGUUGAAUAUUAGGUGAUUGAUUCAUAGUUUAUCGUAGAUUUUAAUUUGCUAUUGUGGGAAUCUACAAAUUGGAAACCCUAGGAUUUUUUUUUUUGGAGUCAGAGUCAAGUUUUCGAUGUUUACUCGUUUGAUUGAUCAAUUUGAAAAGUUUAAUCUUCUGCCUGUUUCCAUUUUUGGCAAUUUUGAUUGAAAACAAAACCCUAUUUGAUAUUAUCUUUUUUAUUUUUUGGGUUACAGUUUGAUCUCCAUUAUUCAAGAUGCCGGCUACAGCAGGAAGGGUUCGCAUGCCUGCGAACAAUAGGGUGCACAGUAGUGCUGCCCUACAGACUCAUGGUAUAUGGCAGAGUGCAAUCGGGUAUGACCCGUAUGCACCCAACAAGGAUGAUUCCAAAAGUUCUUCCCAGCAAAAGCCCUCAAAUGCUGAACCUGAGGCUGAGAAUGCAUACGCCAGCUUCCAGGGCCUUCUAGCUCUUGCCCGUAUCACGGGUUCCAAUGCUGAUGAGGCUCGUGGUGCUUGCAAGAGAUGUGGCCGUGUUGGGCAUCUCGCUUAUCAAUGUAGAAACUUUUUGAGUGUUAAGGAUGAUAAUAAGGAGAAGGACCCAGAAGCAGUCCAGGCAGCAGUUUUGUCUGGAUUGGAAAAGAUAAAGGGAAAUGGAAAAAUUGCAGUUGCGAGCAAGGAGAGCGAGGAAGAGGAGGAAGAGAGUGACACUUCAGAUUCUGAUGUGGAUUCCGAGAUUGAGAGGAUUAUUGCUGAAAGGUAUGGUAAGAAGGGCAGUAGUAAGAGGAGGUCAUCUAGGAAGGAGGAAAAUUCUGAUGAAGGGUCAGAUUCUGAUUCUGGGGAAAGGAAGAAAAGAGGAAGGUCAAAGAAAAGGAGGAGUAAGAAGAGAGAGUCUAGUGAUUCAGAGGAUGAGGAUGAAUGCAAAAGGAAGAGGAGGAGGAGGGAGAAGAGGAGGAAGAGGGAUGAGUCUUCUUCAGAGGAGGAAGAGAGGCGGCACCGCAAGAGGAAGAGUAGGAAGGAGAAGAGGAGGAGAAGUCGUAGAUGUGCUGAUGAUUCUGAAUCAAAUGCAUCUGAUGACUCUGGCAGAAGGCACAGGCGAAAGACCAGGAAGCCAGCAUCACCAUCUGAUUCUGAUUUGAGUGGCUUUGAUGACUCACGAGUUGGAAGGGGUACAAAGCGAUAUGAGAAGAGAAGUAAAAAGCGCCACCUUGAGGAGGAUGAUUGAUCCCCUGCUAGUGAAGGGAUCGAAGGGGAUUAAUCACAGUCUGAGUUAUGAGAAACAGAGCCAACAGUGGUGUGGUUGAAGUACUCAGUUUCAUUGUUGUGUGUGCACGUCUGAAAACUUGUCUCUAUCAAAUUUCUAUUUUUAAAAAGUAAGAAUGGAUGUUCAAAAAUUUGCGUUUGAGGUGUGUAAAGAGCCUGUAAAUUAGCUGCGUUGUUGAAUGUUUUGUUUGGAGCAGCACUUCAGUUUUUAAUUGUAUGCCUAUUUAUUUAUUUGUUUAAACUAGGGGGAAAAAGAUGAGGGAAAGAGGCUUGAGCUUUCUCUAGUUGUAGUAGUAGCAAGUUCAAAUGUAAUUGUGCUGUUUGCAUAGUUGUUUAAGGCAUGCCUCGCACAAAUGCACAAGUGCGAUGCUCCACAUCUAGAAUUAGCAGUCCUCGAUGCUUUUAUUUUUCAACAUCUACACACCUCAAAUUGCUCUCCCCUCCAACCUUGUUUUUGGAUCCCCAACUCUUCUUUAGUGUCUAUGUUUUUGUUUCUGGCGCGCCCUCGAUUGUUGUCUUAAAUAAGUGAUAGGAAAAAAAUGUUAAAAUUUUUUUUAUGCUUU
rnacentral:misc_RNA from 1 species